GCCCUUCGCUGAUGAUUGAUAACGAAGACGCACAUAUACACGGCUGGGAAGAAACGCGAAGUGACGAAAUCCACAGCUAAGAGAACGAACUAGAAAUCAAGUGAGUCAUGUCUGCUGUCCUCCUGUUCCUGCAGCUUCCCGAGGCUUUGAGAGAUCCAACCUCUGAAGAUGAAUCGAAGACCAGUCCUUCUGCAUCACAUGCCACUCAGGACUGCUCUCACAGAGCCCGGAUGUAGUCAGCCUUGCCCAGCAGCCUCCAGGAGUUCCUGUGCACCCUAUUUUUCUCAAUACCACAGUAUCACUAAAGGUCUGAACUGGAACAUAUCAAGAAGACACACGAGAAGGUCAAGGUGAUGGAGCUCUUGGCUGGUUAUCCACCUCACAAAGAGCCAAUCAGCAAAGCUUGAAUGACCUGUGUUUUCAUCUCUGACUCCUCUGCUCGGAGGCAUCAGGGUCUCAAGAUUACAUGGGCACUUCUGAAUCCAGAAGAACCAGUGAUUCCCUGAUUCAAGUUCCUCAACUUAAUCCAGCCAACCUCCAUCUCCAGGAUCUUCCUGAAUGAUGAAGAGCUGAGCCCUGAGGUAGAUCCUCACUGCUUAGGACGUUUACCUGCUCCAACCUCCACACAUCGAGAUACAGGACAACACAUGUGAGCUGAUCCUCACAUCCAGCACACAACAGACUUUCCAAAAACUCUCUGACCACAAAGUUGGUGCCAGAUCACAGUGGUGAGCAGACUCAGAAGUGUGCAGACCACCAAGUGAAGUCCCCACUCCCUAACCCUGCUCUACCAUAAGCAGCCACUCACAGCGCGGGGACAUCCUGUCCUCCGUGUUUGACUGUGAGAGCUCUGUUUCAUCUUCAAUUCCGAGCUUCAGUAAUGAAUUUUAAAAUUUGAAUUCUAGAAGACAGGAUGGACUCUGAUUUCAUAUUCAGAAGGUCUUGUUUGCAGAAGAUGUAGGUCUCAGGUAGACAAGCCACAGGCACAGUGUGGAGGAGCAGCCGAGUCUGGAGAUCUACACCUUGAGUAGAGACAGAGGCUCCGAUGGUAGGAGGAUCACCACAUUUUUGUUCUCAGAGGCUUUGAGGGCUGUCCUGUACCAGACUGGAAACCACGAACAUCUGAAUUCCUCUCAGUUCACUUCAUUCUGCCUCAGCUCCGCACAGUGCUUUGACCAGCAAUGGCUGCUCACUGUUGGUUUGCCACCUGACACAAGCGGAAGUUAUCAUAGAGAAAGGAGCCUUCGUUGAGGAAAUGCCUCCGUGAGACCCAGCUGUA
rnacentral:sRNA from 1 species